rnacentral:lncRNA from 1 species
AUGGGUCAAAGUCAGAGUGUGGUCAUGUUCCUGGAGGUGGCAAGAAAGAUGACAAGGACAAGAAAAAGAAAUAUGAACCUCCUGUACCAACUACAGUGGGGAAAAAGAAGAGAACAAAGGAACCAGAUGCUGCCAGCAAACUGCCACUGUUGACACCUAACACUCAGUGCCCAUUAAAAUUACUGAAGUUAAAGAGAAUGAAAGACUAUCUUCUCGUGGAGGGAUAAUUAAUUAGAAAUCAGAAACUAAUGAAACCAUUAGAAGAAAAGCAAGAGGAGGAAAGAUCAAAAGUGGAUGAUCUGAGUGGGACCCCAAUGUCAGUAGGAACUUUGGAAGAGAUCAUCAGUGACCAUUAUGUGUGCAUCUGUGGGCUGAGAACACUACGUCAGCAUUUUUUUCAUUUGUAGACAAGGAUCUGCUGAAACCUGGAUGCUUGGUCCUGCUCAGCCACAAGGUGCAUGCUGUGAUGGGGUGCUGAUGGAUGACAUGGAUCCCCUAGUCACAGUGAUGAAGGUGGAAAAGUCCCCCCAGGAGAUCUGUGCCAAUACUGGGGUGUUGGACAACCAAAUUUAGGAAAUUAAGGAAUCUGUGGAGCUUCCUCUAACCCAUCCUGAAUAUUAUGAAGAGAUGGGUAUAAAGCCUCCUAAGGGGGUCAUUCUCUAUGGUCCACCUGGCACAGGUAAAAUCUUGUUAGCCAUAGCAGCAGGAAACCAAACCUCCACCACUUUCUUGAAAGUGGUUGGCUCUGAACUUAUUCAGAAGUACCUAGGUGAUGGGCCUGAAUUUGUAUGGAAAUUGUUUUGAGUUGCUGAAGAGCAUGCACCAUCCAUUGUGUUUAUUGAUGAAAUUGAUGCCAUUGGAACAAAAAUAUAUGACUCAAAUUCUGGUGGUGAGAAAGAAAUUCAUUCAGUGAACAAUGUUGAAACUGUUGAACCAGUUGGGUGAAUUUGAUCGUAGGAGAGAUGUGAAAGUUAUCAUGGCCACAAACUGAAUAGAAACUUUGGAUCCAGCACUUAUCAGACCAGGCCACAUUAACAGAAAUAUCGAGUUCCCCCUUCCUGAUGAAAAGACUAGGAAGCACAUCUUUCAGAUUCACACAAGCAGGAUGACGCUGGCUGAUGAUACAACCCUGGACGAUUUGAUUAUGGCUAAAGAUGACCUCUCUGGUGCUGACAUCAAGGUAACAUGUAGAGAAGCUGGUCUGUGGCCUUAAGAGAAUGUAGAAUGAAAGUAACAAAUGAAGACUUCAAAAAAAUCUAAAGAAAAUAUUCUUUAUAAGAAACAGGAAGGCUCCCCCGAGGGGCUCUAUCUCUA